rnacentral:rRNA from 1 species
CACGUAGGGUGCGAGCGUUUGUCCGGAAUUAUUGGGCGUAAAGAGCUCGUAGGCGGUGUGUCGCGUCGGCCGUGAAAACCUGCAGCUUAACUGUGGGCUUGCGGUCGAUACGGGCAUCACUGGAGUUCGGCAGGGGAGACUGGAAUUCCUGGUGUAGCGGUGAAAUGCGCAGAUAUCAGGAAGAACACCCGGUGGCGAAGGCGGCUCUCUGGAACGCAACUGACGCUGAGACGCGAAAGCGUGGGGAGCAAACAGG